AUACUUACUUGGACGUGGUUAAUGGAUGAUCUAUAAGGCUCAUGACCUAGGUUAGUAACUUUCGUUGUACUUUGGAGAGGUAUCUGUCUAAGUGGCAGAAUCUAUGUCAUAAUUUAUGAAAGAGGGGCCUGCACUUGCGCGGUACUGCC
rnacentral:snRNA from 1 species